rnacentral:rRNA from 1 species
AUAUCAGUCAUGCAUAGCAUAUCAAUAAGCGGAGGAAAAGAAACUAACAAGGAUUCCCUUAGUAACGGCGAGUGAAGCGGGAAGAGCUCAAAUUUGAAAUCUUCAAGGUUCUACCUUGACGAAUUGUAGUUUAUAGAAGUGUUUUCUGUUAGUAGAGUGGCAAAAGUUCUUUGGAAUAGGACAUCAUAGAGGGUGAGAAUCCCGUAUUUGGUCAUUCCUUCUAGCGUUGUGAUACACUUUCAACGAGUCGGAUUGUUUGGGAAUGCAGUCCAAAAUGGGUGGUAAAUUUCAUCUAAAGCUAAAUAUUGGCGAGAGACCGAUAGCGAACAAGUACCGUGAGGGAAAGAUGAAAAGAACUUUGAAAAGAGAGUUAAACAGUACGUGAAAUUGUCAAAAGGGAAGCGUUUGACACCAGUGUUGUUUUCUCGAAAAUCAAUUAAGAAUGAUGGGAUUUUGUGUUGUAUUGACUUUAUCAGCUUUCUGCACUUUUUUCUUAUCUUUUUUAAUGCACUUUUCGUUUAACAAGUCAACAUCAAUUUCUUUUGUUGUAAAAGAGUCAUUGGAAGGUGGCUUUUUCUUCGGAAAAAGUGUUUAUAGCCUUUGGCUUCUGCAAUCGGAGAGAUUGAGGUCUGCAGCGUAGAUCCUUCGGGGUUAGAUACAUUUGUGCUAAGCUAUAGUUCUUUAUAGACAACUUGUUGACUAUAAUCAAUCCUGUAACUUACUCGCUUAUGCUAUUUUACCUACGCUUAGGAUGUUGAUGUGAUACUGCGAGC